CCCUCCGCUCGGCCGCGGCUACAUAAGGCCUCCUAUUCCCUCUACAAUCCACACCCAACCCAAGAUAGCUACCUGCCUGCAACAAACUUGAAACUCUUACACCAGAGCUGAGGCUACUCGACCGAUACCCCCCCAUCAGGUAAUUGUUGUUUGUGGUUAAUUAGUUAUCUGAUACUAGCAUGGUGUGAGAUCGAGGACAAGACACGGACAUAUACCUAGCUAGCUACCCGGCCGGCCUCUUGGAUUUAUAUUUUGCAAAUGGUGUUCGACGCGAACCGCUAGCUAGCUUUGUCUUCCUUGACAGACGUACGAAUGGCGGCGGCUCGAGUUCACCGUACCUGCGAUGUUUGCAACAUGAGUGCUUAUGCUACUACGCAGGCCUUCAUCAAUAGCCAUGCCGCACGCCAUCAGCAUGGAGGUGGUGGGCAAGGCGGGGCUGGACAAGGUGGAGCUGGUGGCGGUGCCGGGCAAGUUGGAGGUGUCGACGGCGGCCAAGGAGGUGCUGGGCAAGGCGGGGGCGCCGGUGCCGCUGGGCAGGGAGGAGCUGCCGGCGGACAAGCGGCGCCUGAUAACUCUAGCUGCGUGCUAGGAGUUUCUUUUAGCAAAUAAAUAACGAUGCGCGUGCAUUCUUCGCACUUGUUCCUAGAUCGAGUUAUUUCCGUGUUUGUUCUAUCUAUCCCAGCACGUACGUGCAUGCUCUUGUUAUGUGGUUGUGGUCGUAGUGUAGUAGCAGAAGUGAUGCUGUACUGUGUGCUAUAGCUCCAUCUUAUCUUUCAAUAACAAUGUAAUGCUCUAGUAUGUCCAAGGCUCAUCACUUGAUUUCCUUCAUGCAUAUUGAAGCGCAAGAGCAUCAAAGUUGUAGUAUAAUGGAGAGCGAACAUUUUUCUUCUCGAC
rnacentral:lncRNA from 1 species